rnacentral:rRNA from 1 species
GACGAACGCUGGCGGCGUGCUUAACACAUGCAAGUCGAACGGAAAGGCCCUGCUUUUGUGGGGUGCUCGAAUGGCGAACGGGUGAGUAACACGUGAGUAACCUGCCCUUGACUUUGGGAUAACUUCAGGAAACUGGGGCUAAUACCGGAUAGGUGCCCCUGCUGCAUGGUGGGGGUUGGAAAGUUUCGGCGGUUGGGGAUGGACUCGCGGCUUAUCAGCUUGUUGGUGGGGUAGUGGCUUACCAAGGCUUUGACGGGUAGCCGGCCCGAGAGGGUGAACGGCCACAUUGGGACUGAGAUACGGCCCAGACUCCUACGGGAGGCAGCAGUGGGGAAUAUUGCACAAUGGGCGGAAGCCUGAGGCAGAAACGCUGCGUGCGGGAUGACGGCCUUCGGGUUGUAAACCGCUUUCGCCUGUGACGAAGCGUGAGUGACGGUAAUGGGUAAAGAAGCACCGGCUAACUACGUG